rnacentral:rRNA from 1 species
AUACCCUGGUAGUCCACGCCGUAAACGAUGUCGACUUGGAGGUUGUGCCCUUGAGGCGUGGCUUCCGGAGCUAACGCGUUAAGUCGACCGCCUGGGGAGUACGGCCGCAAGGUUAAAACUCAAAUGAAUUGACGGGGGCCCGCACAAGCGGUGGAGCAUGUGGUUUAAUUCGAUGCAACGCGAAGAACCUUACCUACUCUUGACAUCCAGAGAACUUUCCAGAGAUGGAUUGGUGCCUUCGGGAACUCUGAGACAGGUGCUGCAUGGCUGUCGUCAGCUCGUGUUGUGAAAUGUUGGGUUAAGUCCCGCAACGAGCGCAACCCUUAUCCUUUGUUGCCAGCGGUCCGGCCGGGAACUCAAAGGAGACUGCCAGUGAUAAACUGGAGGAAGGUGGGGAUGACGUCAAGUCAUCAUGGCCCUUACGAGUAGGGCUACACACGUGCUACAAUGGCGCAUACAAAGAGAAGCGACCUCGCGAGAGCAAGCGGACCUCAUAAAGUGCGUCGUAGUCCGGAUUGGAGUCUGCAACUCGACUCCAUGAAGUCGGAAUCGCUAGUAAUCGUAGAUCAGAAUGCUACGGUGAAUACGUUCCCGGGCCUUGUACACACCGCCCGUCACACCAUGGGAGUGGGUUGCAAAAGAAGUAGGUAGCUUAACCUUCGGGAGGGCGCNUACCACUUUGUGAUUCAUGACUGGG